UUACGGCCAUAUCACGCUGAAACACCGGUUACCAUACGGUCACCGAAGUUAAGAAACGUUGAAUAUGGUCAGUACCUAGAUGGGGGACUGCUUGGAAAUACCAGGUGUUGUAAG